rnacentral:rRNA from 1 species
UACGGAGGGUGCAAGCGUUAUCCGGAUUCACUGGGUUUAAAGGGUGCGUAGGUGGGCUGGUAAGUCAGUGGUGAAAUCUCCAGGCUUAACUUGGAAACUGCCAUUGAUACUAUUAGUCUUGAAUACCGUGGAGGUCAGCGGAAUAUGUCAUGUAGCGGUGAAAUGCUUAGAUAUGACAUAGAGCACCAAUUGCGAAGGCAGCUGGCUACACGAAUAUUGACACUGAUGCACGAAAGCGUGGGGAUCAAACAGG